ACGGGAGGCAGCAGUGGGGAAUAUUGGGCAAUGGGCGAAAGCCUGACCCAGCAACGCCGCGUGAAGGAAGAAGGUUUUCGGAUUGUAAACUUCUUUUAUCAGGGACGAAGUAAGUGACGGUACCUGAUGAAUAAGCCACGGCUAACUACGUGCCAGCAGCCGCGGUAAUACGUAGGUGGCAAGCGUUAUCCGGAUUUACUGGGUGUAAAGGGCGCGUAGGCGGGGAUGCAAGUCAGAUGUGAAAUCCAUGGGCUUAACCCAUGAACUGCAUUUGAAACUGUAUCUCUUGAGUAUCGGAGAGGUAGACGGAAUUCCUAGUGUAGCGGUGAAAUGCGUAGAUAUUAGGAGGAACACCAGUGGCGAAGGCGGUCUACUGGACGAUAACUGACGCUGAGGCGCGAAAGCGUGGGGAGCAAACAGGAUUAGAUACCCUGGUA
rnacentral:rRNA from 1 species